rnacentral:tRNA from 1 species
ACUUAAAUAGUUUAAAUAAAAACAUUGAUUUGUGAUAUCAAAAAUAUGAGUAAUCAUUUUAGGUC